CGCAUGGUCCCAGCGCGCGUGCGCCCCUGAAGGCGGGUUCCGGUGGCAGCGCCGGGGUCUCAGACCCUGAGGAGACUGAGCCCAGCGCCAGGCGACCGGUCCCCGCCGCCGCCGCCCCUGCGCGGGAGAUCCCCCCUGCUUAGUCCGCGCCCGAGCCCCCGUCCGUGGGAACAGACAAGGGGCCUCCGCAGCGCCUCACAACCCCCGACCAGGUCCAGCGGCGGGGGACUCGGCCGUGGAGGGCGCUGUUCGGUCUGGAUGGCUCCCCCCAUCAGCGGGAGGCUACACCCCCCACCAGCAGGGGCAAGAGGAGCAGCGGGAUGGGAGCAGGCCAACGUCCUGCGGCCUGGUUGAGCUCGCACUGACAAUCGCAGGCCCAGUAACCCGCAGGUCACCGCGCUCCCCACCUGCGUUGCUGACGGUGACAUCGUCAGGGGAGGGGGGCGCGCCUUCCCAGAGGCUCAGGUCGCGAGGGUAGCCGGGGUCCGGGCGCGCCGCCGCCUCGUCGUAGCGCCAGUACUGCCGGCCGCGGACCAGUUGCUGCAGGCCAUCGCGGUCAUCCUGAGACAGGCGGUACUUGUCAGGGUCGCCCACCGGACCCUGGUAGAAGGGCCUCAUAAUGGAGUUGGGGGCUGAGGAGUGGCCCAGGCCCAGGGCGUGGCCAAACUCAUGGACAGCCACGGCAAACAGGUCGGUCCCCUCGCCGUCUGCAGGAGAAAGUGGGUGAGAGCUGCGGCCGCCCCUGCUUGGGGAAAGGGGCCACAGGAAGGCCCUGCGAGUGCAGCUGGGGCCAACAGGAACAGCAGGACACCCUCCAGAGGUGGCCCCAGCCUCCUCUGCCCAGCCCUUCCUGAACUCUCCAUCAUCCCUGUCUCCAGUCACUCAGUCAGCAUGGCUGUGAUGGACACUGGACCACAGGGCUGAAAAGAUCCAGAGAACACACAGAGGAAUAGGCCACCUUACACACCGAUGGGGCCCCUCCUCUGGGAAGGGAGCACUUUGUGCACAGAAGUUUGAGGGGGAGGAGCUGGGUGUGGUGGCUCAUGCCUGUAAACCCAGCACUUUUGGAGUCCCAGGUGGGAGGAUCGCUUGAGCCCAAGAGUUCAAGACUGGCCUGGACAACAUAAGGAGAUCCCCAUCUCUACAAAAAAAUUUUAAAAAUUGGCCAGGAGUGGUGGCGCAUGCCUGUGGUCCCAGCUACUCAGGUCCCAGGCUGAGGCAGGGAGGCAGGAGAAUCGCUGGAGCCCGGGAGGUGGAGGCUGCAGUGACGCAUGACCAUGUCAUUGCACUCCAGCCUGGAGGACAGAAUAAGGCCCCGUCUCAAAAAAAGUAAAAAGAAAAAAAAAGAAAAAGAAAAUAAAAGAAACUUAAGAGGGCGGUGGGGUGAGGGCAGGAGCCUACAAGGUGCGUGCCAUUCUCUUCAGGCAGCCCCAGCCCUGGGAGCAUCCCCUCCUCCCAGCUACAGUCUAUAGUCAGCGACCCCCACCCGUCUCCCCCUUGCCACCCCCAUCUGCUGGGGAUGUAGGUCCAUGUCCUUGACCCAAGACCUUCCCUCAUUCCUGCCCCCAUCCCUCCUCAAGCCAUAUCCCUUACAUCCCUUGAGUCCUCCAUCCCCCCUCCCCCAUCUCCCUGUUCACAGCCUCUGCCCCUCCUCUCCCUACCCUGUACCACCCCCACCCCAGGUCUUCCUCCAUCUCCUUGGGAACACAGAGCUCCUCUAGCAGGCACUCUCAGAACACAGCCUGCCGGCCCCAGCACCCGGCCUUGCUCCCAGCCUCUUCCCUCUGUAUUCAGCUCAGGCGCUCAGGACUGCCAGGACCCAGAGGAUUCACACGCCAGCCCCGGCUGAAGCCCAGCUCCUCAUCAACCGGUGAGCCGCCUGCCAGCUCCUGCUCCAGCUGCUGAGAGGCCUGAAGAGACCAAGACAGAGACACAGCCCCGCAGCACCACAGGGAGGCCCCAGUUACCCCAUGCGGAUGAGUUUCAUGGCCAUCUCUAACUAAGGUCAGCACUGUUCAGGGCAGGUUCAUAGGUAACGACCUGGUGAACUGAAAAGCAAAUUUCUCUCGGUCCCUAAAGCCACUCGCUGAGCGUCUAAGCAUGAAACGUGAGACCUAAGAGGGGUAGCAAACACGUUUUCGUUCACUUCUCACCAAACCUGUCUCCUAUGCCCAUUUUACAGAGGAGGAAACUGAGGCACAGAGACUUCAAGGUAGAUGGCCAGGUACCCUGGCUCUGCCAGCCUGCCUUUCAGCAGGGGCUUCAAUGGUCUUGCUCAAAUCACAUCCGCACUGACGAAUUUCCCUGUCGACUGUAGGUUCUCUUGUUGCUCUGAGUCCUUUUUCUGAGAAACUGGGGGUAGUUUGGUGUUUCAAUCAGGGCGAUAUCUUUCAUCUCUCACCUU
rnacentral:lncRNA from 1 species